GACCGUCGGAACGUCGUGCAACGGGACUGCUGCUGGAUCCUGGUGAACUGUCCUUCCCAAAGAGUACUCUGCCAUUGCAGUGAACUGGACUGAACAUCCUGAGAGAAACCUAGCAAGACUUUCUGCUGUGGAACACAGGAUUGAUACAUGCAACACUCAUCCCUCUCCUGCUACUCGAGGAAAUCCAAGGAUGUUAUCAUGUUGCACAUCAUAUCCAUCCUUGGAUCUAUUCAAGAUGUGAGCAAUUUGGUCUGCUCCCAUUGCUGACCAACUUUCAGGAGGUUGGAAAACAAAGCUCCUUAGCUAUCUUUCACUUUGAGUUAUGCCAUGAACUUCCGAAUUUUUAGUUUGUGAGCUGACUUGAAGAAAUCAGAGGCAUAUUAGGUACUAGCAAAAAUAUCUUCUGACCACUGGAGAGACACGGAACUGAUGGAUGGAUCACUUAUUUGAUAAGGAAUCUACUGGAUGGUGACACACCAAGAACAGCAGUUGACAGCUUGACAUCCCAGCAGAGACCACUUGGGAAUGAUGAGUGGUGUUCCUCAGAGGAUGAAAGCUUGUUCUGUUUUCAAGUGGCAUCUUGAUCACUUCUACUGGAUUCUCCUGGUCCCACUAGACAUUUUACCUACUUUUUCUCCAUCACGUGCUCUUGUUUCACAAAUUCUACUACUUACAUGUGUUCUCCUGUGCCCUACUUGUGGAAAUGCAGAACAAGGUCAUUUACAUUUUGGUGGUUUCAUACUAUACAUAUUUCUACUUAGAUCACAUGAAGUUAUCCAGAAAUGACUUUGUUUAAGGAUCCAAACUGUAAACCACUGAUUUUUCUUUGCAGAAGUGAAGAAACAGAUUCCACUUUAGAAGAACACGUGUCAGGUACUUGUGCUCACAGAUUCUUAUGCUUUGGCAAAUUUUGUAGUAUUUUCUGGAUAAUUUUUAUCAAAGCAGAAGGGAACUGUGGGUAUUUUUAGAGAGGUUUGGGCUUUUUUUUUUUUUUUUUUCUUCUUUCAAUCUCCCCAAAUCCAGUGGAAAUAUGUAACACAAACUUGGUUUCACUUAUAAUUUCUGAGAGCAACCCAUUGUUAAUAAACACCUUAACCAGCCUGUGACUGUUCACUCAACACGUGCUCAGAUUUUGGAUAACCCACAGCUGUAAGUCUAAGGCCAUGUGUAUGCUGGCAGCAGCAUCACUCAGUCAAAGUGAGAGCAACGCAUGAGCAGGACACAAUGGACAGGAAAGGCCAAAGGUCAUUAAGCACCUGUUACCACCUGCAUCUCAAUGUCUCCUGCAGCCAUUACCCUCAAAUGGAUUAUCUGGCAGCUUCUUCAGGGUAUAGUGACUCAUGGACAUGGUGUAGACCAUGUCUGUCCAACCUUCUGGCUUACCUGGGCUGCACUGAGUGAAAAGGAAUUGUCUUGGACUGUGUACAAAAUAUAUAAUAUAGUUAAUGUCUAUAAGUAACAAAACUUCUUUUAUUUUUUAAUAUUUUUAAUUAAAACAAACAAACAAACAAACAAAGAUAACAAUAAAGACAUAAAACUAGUGAGAUAUUUGAGUUUGUUUUUGUUAAACUAAUGUACCAGUCUGGUUCAGUGGAAGUGGUUGAAGUUUUUAGUCAGUUCUCAAGGUGUUCAUCAAAGAUUUUUGAUGAAAAUUUACUCUUCCUGUGCUGCAUCCUCGAAAAUCUUUGUUCAUAGGCAUGAUUGUGAAGUGAGUGAUAUUUUUCUCUGGUAAGAUAGUUCUUGUAAAGAGACAUAAUCAGAUUUUUUAGUUCAAUAUAUGAUUACAACUCUAUACAUUCCAUUUGAAAAUUUGCAUGUAAUGUGUUUAUGUUGACUGAGAAUGGAGUCGCAAAUAUACAAAAUAAAAGAUUAUUUCUUUG
ensembl:lncRNA